rnacentral:rRNA from 2 species
UGCCAGUGAUAAACUGGAGGAAGGUGGGGAUGACGUCAAGUCAUCAUGGCCCUUACGAGUAGGGCUACACACGUGCUACAAUGGCGCAUACAAAGAGAAGCGACCUCGCGAGAGCAAGCGGACCUCAUAAAGUGCGUCGUAGUCCGGAUUGGAGUCUGCAACUCGACUCCAUGAAGUCGGAAUCGCUAGUAAUCGUAGAUCAGAAUGCUACGGUGAAUACGUUCCCGGGCCUUGUACACACCGCCCGUCACACCAUGGGAGUGGGUUGCAAAAGAAGUAGGUAGCUUAACCUUCGGGAGGGCGCUUACCACUUUGUGAUUCAUGACUGGGGUGAAGUCGUAACAAGGUAACCGUAGGGGAACCUGCGGUUGGA